GACGAACGCUGGCGGCGUGCUUAACACAUGCAAGUCGAACGGAAAGGCCCUGCUUUUGUGGGGUGCUCGAGUGGCGAACGGGUGAGUAACACGUGAGUAACCUGCCCUUGACUUUGGGAUAACUUCAGGAAACUGGGGCUAAUACCGGAUAGGAGCUCCUGCUGCAUGGUGGGGGUUGGAAAGUUUCGGCGGUUGGGGAUGGACUCGCGGCUUAUCAGCUUGUUGGUGGGGUAGUGGCUUACCAAGGCUUUGACGGGUAGCCGGCCUGAGAGGGUGACCGGCCACAUUGGGACUGAGAGACGGCCCAGACUCCUACGGGAGGCAGCAGUGGGGAAUAUUGCGCAAUGGGCGGAAGCCUGAUGCAGCAACGCCGCGUGCGGGAUGACGGCCUUCGGGUUGUAAACCGCUUUCGCCUGUGACGAAGCGUGAGUGACGGUAAUGGGUAAAGAAGCACCGGCUAACUACGUG
rnacentral:rRNA from 1 species